rnacentral:rRNA from 1 species
GGACUACACGGGUAUCUAAUCCUGUUCGCUCCCCACGCUUUCGCGUCUCAGCGUCAGUACCGUCCCAGAGAACCGCCUUCGCCACGGGUGUUCUUCCCGAUAUCUGCGCAUUUCACCGCUACACCGGGAAUUCCAUUCUCCUCUUCCGGACUCUAGCCAGAUGGUUUCCGCCGACAGCUCGAGGUUAAGCCUCGAGUUUUCACAGCAGACCUACCUGGCCGCCUACACGCUCUUUACGCCCAAUAAAUCCGGACAACGCUUGCCCCCUACGUAUUACCGCGGCGGCUGGCAC